rnacentral:rRNA from 1 species
UACGGAGGGAGCUAGCGUUGUUCGGAAUUACUGGGCGUAAAGCGCGCGUAGGCGGCUUUGUAAGUUAGAGGUGAAAGCCCGGAGCUCAACUCCGGAAUUGCCUUUAAGACUGCAUCGCUAGAAUCAUGGAGAGGUGAGUGGAAUUCCGAGUGUAGAGGUGAAAUUCGUAGAUAUUCGGAAGAACACCAGUGGCGAAGGCGACUCACUGGACAUGUAUUGACGCUGAGGUGCGAAAGCGUGGGGAGCAAACAGG